rnacentral:rRNA from 1 species
UACGGGGGGAGCAAGCGUUGUUCGGAUUUACUGGGCGUAAAGGGCGCGUAGGCGGUCAGCACAAGUCAGUUGUGAAAUCUCCGGGCUUAACUCGGAAAGGUCAACUGAUACUGUGCGACUAGAGUGCAGAAGGGGCAACUGGAAUUCUCGGUGUAGCGGUGAAAUGCGUAGAUAUCGAGGGGAACACCUGCGGCGAAGGCGGGUUGCUGGGCUGACACUGACGCUGAUGCGCGAAAGCCAGGGGAGCGAACGGG